CUGGAGCUGCACCAAGCCGGGCGACUUCCUCUCUCCUCCUGGCUCCACCAGGUAUUUGUUGGGAGAGAGAGUGAGCUACAAUCCAUCAAAUCUCUCCAUUGAGGAAUCCUCAAAUAAGGACUCCACUCUUUCUCAUUCUCCACAACAGGAGGUUGUUGUUGUGCUGAGAGUGUCUUUGCACUGCAGAGGAUGUGU